UACGGGGGGGGCAAGCGUUGUUCGGAAUUACUGGGCGUAAAGCGCGCGUAGGCGGCUCUUCAAGUCGAGUGUGAAAGCUCCAGGCUUAACCUGGGAAUUGCGCUCGAUACUGUUGAGCUAGAGUGUGGAAGGGGCUACUGGAAUUCCGUGUGUAGCGGUGAAAUGCGUAGAUAUAACGGAGGAACACCAGCGGCGAAGGCGGGGUUGCUGGGCCGGACACUGACGUGAGGCGCGAAAGCCAGGGGAGCGAACGGGG
rnacentral:rRNA from 1 species